CACGUAGGGGGCAAGCGUUGUCCGGAUUUAUUGGGCGUAAAGAGCUCGUAGGCGGCUUGGUAAGUCGGGUGUGAAACCUCCAGGCUCAACCUGGAGACGCCACUCGAUACUGCUAUGGCUAGAGUCCGGUAGGGGAGCGUGGAAUUCCUGGUGUAGCGGUGAAAUGCGCAGAUAUCAGGAGGAACACCAGCGGCGAAGGCGGCGCUCUGGGCCGGAACUGACGCUGAGGAGCGAAAGCAUGGGGAGCGAACAGG
rnacentral:rRNA from 1 species